GGGACCAUAGUUCAAUGGUAGAACACUAGCUUUACACGCUGGCUACGAUGGUUCAAUUCCGUCUGGUCCUA
rnacentral:tRNA from 1 species